GGUAGUUGUCCAGCCCUCUAAUUUUUCAAGAUCUCAAGACGUAUGCACUGAAUGUGGACUGCUUAGUGCCUGGAAAAGGCUCUGUGGCACUUAGUGUGUCUGCCUCUGCUUCAGCUCUCAGAAGACUUCAUCUUAUGGGAACCGAUGAGUUUGUUCUCAAUCACUGAAACCAACGCUGGGAAUCUUGAGAUGGAAAACACAUGUCAAAAUCUGCCACUACGUCCUGCAUUCUUCAUUGAUUCAAGAAAGCCAGGUGGAUUCUACACUGCCUCACAGAUCAGAAGAAAAACAUGAG
rnacentral:lncRNA from 1 species